GCAGUCGAACGCGAAAGUGGACUUCGGUCCGCGAGUAGAGUGGCGAACGGGUGAGUAACACGUGGGCAACCUACCCUGGAGCGGGGGACAACUCGAGGAAACUCGAGCUAAUACCGCAUACGUUUCGGCGAUUAUGGUCGCCGAAGGAAAGACAGCCUCUUCUUGAAAGCUGUCACUCUGGGAUGGGCCCGCGUCCGAUUAGCUUGUUGGUGGGGUAACGGCCUACCAAGGCGACGAUCGGUAGCCGGCCUGAGAGGGCGAUCGGCCACACUGGAACUGAGACACGGUCCAGACUCCUACGGGAGGCAGCAGUGGGGAAUAUUGCGCAAUGGGGGAAACCCUGACGCAGCAACGCCGCGUGAAGGAUGAAGGCCUUCGGGUCGUAAACUUCUGUCAGAAGGGAAGAAGGUUUGCGGGUUAAUAGCCCGUAAACUUGACGGUACCUUCAGAGGAAGCCCCGGCUAACUCCGUGCCAGCAGCCGCGGUAAUACGGAGGGGGCAAGCGUUAUUCGGAAUCAUUGGGCGUAAAGGGCGUGUAGGCGGCUUAACAGGUCAAAGGUGAAAUCCCUCGGCUCAACCGAGGAACUGCCUUUGAAACCUUUAGGCUAGAGGCCGGGAGAGGCUAGCGGAAUUCCCAGUGUAGCGGUGAAAAUGCGUAGAUAUUGGG
rnacentral:rRNA from 1 species